GUGAAGGCAACCUUCAUACUCCAGAUAUUGUGGACUACUUCUCCCUUGAUGCUUUAUCAUCUUUAUGGCUGAAACAUUUGGAGUGCAAAAGGUUGCCUACCCCUGGUCUAGUGGGAUGCUGGAUCACCCUGUGCUCUCAUUUUAUAGACAAUCAAGGCAACUGCCUCUCUCACAAGUUCUGUACUGAUGUUGGAGUGAUGCCACAUCCCAUC